AAAUAAUUAGUCCUUAAACCCUUUGUUCAUUCAUUUCUGGACUAAAAUAAAAACACAUUUUCGCGGUAUUGCAUAUUCAUAAUUUUUAGAUAA